CUGCUUCGCCGGUCUCGUCCGCACGCUUCCCGCGGAGUGGCAGCGGACAGCUCCUGCUGCUGCUGCCGCUGCUGCUCGGCUACCUCCCUCGCCCCGCCCUUACCGUCGGCAUACUCUUUCUUAUUCCUUCGCCUUUCUGGGCAAGAAGCUUACUUUUCAUUGCCCUGUUCUUUCCCAGCACCGUCUCCCUCGUCUAGCC
rnacentral:lncRNA from 1 species